rnacentral:rRNA from 1 species
UACGUAGGGGGCAAGCGUUGUCCGGAAUUAUUGGGCGUAAAGAGCGUGUAGGCGGUCCGGUAAGUCGGCUGUGAAAGUCCAGGGCUCAACCCUGGGAUGCCGGUCGAUACUGCCGGACUAGAGUUCGGAAGAGGCGAGUGGAAUUCCCGGUGUAGCGGUGAAAUGCGCAGAUAUCGGGGGGAACACCUAUGGCGAAGGCAGCUCGCUGGGACGGUACUGACGCUGAGACGCGAAAGCGUGGGGAGCAAACAGG